rnacentral:tRNA from 1 species
GGGGUUAUAGCUCAAUUGGUAGAGCAUUAGCUUUGCAAGCUAAGGGUUAGCGGUUCGAUUCCGCUUAACUCCA